GGGAGUGUAGCUCAGAUGGUAGAGCGCUCGCUUAGUAGGCGAGAAGUAAGGGGACCGAUACCCCGCGCCUCCA